rnacentral:rRNA from 1 species
UAGGGAAUCUUCGGCAAUGGACGAAAGUCUGACCGAGCAACGCCGCGUGAGUGAAGAAGGUUUUCGGAUCGUAAAACUCUGUUGUUAGAGAAGAACAAGGACGUUAGUAACUGAACGUCCCCUGACGGUAUCUAACCAGAAAGCCACGGCUAACUACGUGCCAGCAGCCGCGGUAAUACGUAGGUGGCAAGCGUUGUCCGGAUUUAUUGGGCGUAAAGCGAGCGCAGGCGGUUUCUUAAGUCUGAUGUGAAAGCCCCCGGCUCAACCUGGGAGGGUCAUUGGAAACUGGGAGACUGGAGUGCAGAAGAGGAGAGUGGAAUUCCAUGUGUAGCGGUGAAAUGCGUAGAUAUAUGGAGGAACACCAGUGGCGAAGGCGGCUCUCUGGUCUGUAACUGACGCUGAGGCUCGAAAGCGUGGGGAGCAAACAGG